AUUGGAAAAUUUGUGAUACUUUAUGAUUAACAUAACCAUCUUAAAGGGAAACUGUAUUAUCCUGAAUAGAACUUUCCAUUAUUGUGUUUACUUUUAAGACAGGUGUUGUCCAAGAGGAGCACAGUGACCUUCACUGUUCCCCCUGGCCACUACACCAAAACAUUAACUAUGAUAAGGCUCUAUUAUGUCCAUCUCAUUUCACUCUCACGUAUUCUGUGUAUAAAAUUCUGUGUGAAUCUUGCAUCCGUUGAACAUUUGCACUGUGAGCUCUGGUGUGUAACUUGUUCCAUUGCUGCAAGAAAAUAAAUAUCCUACUCUUAUGAAUCUUCAGACGGUGUUCCUGAGUUUAUUUGAUAAUUUACUUAACAGAAUCCUACAGAUUUUUUAUUAUCACUGAUUAUAAGUCCCUCAUUUGAUGUAAAUAAAUGCUUGAUCGUUACUAAAGAAAUGUCUCCUCUGAAUUCAUAUGUAAUAUGCACACUAUCUGCUGAUAGAAAAACUUUACAAAUCAAAGAGCAGCUAAACUAAUUUAUUUGAGGGUUUGUGGUGUGUUAUUACCAUUGUAAAAUUAUGUGCACUGAAGUAAAACAAGACUGCCUAACAUCUUUUAUUUAGAUUGAAACUAUAUGUUUUUACAAAGAAGCAAAACGUACUGGUGUAUUCUGGUGAAAGUACCGUAGCCAGCGCGGUACAUGUACACAUUGAGGCCGGCUCCAACGCAGGACAGUCAUGGUAAAUCUUCCUCGUGUUUCUCCCUUACUGUGAAGCGAAAGUUUUUAGUUUGUCUAGUGAGAAUGGGUGUGUCACAGGAAACACAACAUUUCCUGUUUUACCACCACAACCAACCAACAGUUCUACUGCUACGUGCAGAGACACAAAGCAACUAUGUGUCUCAACUAUCCAUGUUGUAUCCAGAGUCACAGCUUCGAACUCCAGAGAGGGAGAAGAUGAUCUGCUGCAUCCUCUCAGGAUGAAGAGUUUUCAGGACGAGUCCAGUGUGACAAAGACGUCCUCAGAGAAGGACGAAUCAGACUCCAUGUGUCCAGACUGAGGACUGAGGACUCAGGACUGUACCGGUGUCAGGUCCUCACCUCUGAUGGGAGGAGCUCUGGUAAAUGUCGCCUCAACGUCUCUGAAGCGAGGGAUCGGCCUGAACCUGAGACAGAACCUGAGACAGAACCUGGAGAACCAAACACAGCAAGUCGGGGAAGGAUCGGCCUCUACUGUGGACUGGGACUGACAGCAGCUGUUGUUCUGACUCUUUCUUUUGUUUUCUUAUUAAUUCACUUCCUGCCUAGAAAACAAAGAUUUCUACCCAGAGUUCAAAGUUGGAUCUGAGGAAAAGUUUCAGCUCAACAGAAACAGUUUUGGUGGGAACAGUUUCUAUUACGUCUUUUACAGUGGAAACAAUACACGGUCCAGUCAUACACUAGAUCUAUACCUAGUCUUAUUUUGAAAGGACACCUUGUUAAACUGUGUCAGACAGAUGUGAAACGUGCACUGUGUUCACUUUAUGAAAUAAUGCUGAGAAGCUUGUCUACUUUUACUGACUUACCCAUCAUGCACUUGACCUGAUGGUAUGAAACUGUAGCAGCUCACAGGAAGUGAUGUCACUGUUUGUGUUGUUGUUAAUGUUCUUCCAUUUACUGCCCGAAAACUGUAAAACUGUAUUUUUGAUUCUGACUUUGUCUAUAAUUUACACAGAGAUUUAAGUUUGAACAAACAGCUUUAAUAUUUGUUUUUUCUAAACAUGAAACUCUAAUGUACAGUCACUGUUUUUAUUUCUGUUACAGCUUGUUGUUAUUUGCUGCCUGUUAUUGUCACUUUUUCAUCGGAUGUAAAGCUGUGAGUUUACACUGUUGUUAAUGAGGACGCUCACUAGAGGGAGCUCUUUGUGCUCAUUUAGACCAUCAGACACUUUCCUGUUGUGGAGCUCAGCUUCAUCACUGCUGAGGACUGAUCUACACUGACUCAGGUUAUUGUGACCUUCAGCUUCUCUCUUCUCGGGUCAUUUAUUUUACUAUUGGUUUGUGUGUUUAUGAAAUUUAUACAUCUUUUACAUUAUUAUUGUUGAACUUCUGUUAAUGUCUAUUUCCUCUUUAUUUCUGCUCCUGUGAAGCAACAGUGUUAAUAAAGUUUAUUCUUGUUGUUUAUAAUAAAGUUUUAAUUCUUGACAA